UGCUCAGGACGAACGCUGGCGGCGUGCCUAAUACAUGCAAGUCGAGCGGACUUUAAAAGCUUGCUUUUAAAGUUAGCGGCGGACGGGUGAGUAACACGUGGGCAACCUGCCUGUAAGACUGGGAUAACUUCGGGAAACCGGAGCUAAUACCGGAUAAUCCUUUUCUACACAUGUAGAAAAGCUGAAAGACGGUUUACGCUGUCACUUACAGAUGGGCCCGCGGCGCAUUAGCUAGUUGGUGAGGUAACGGCUCACCAAGGCAACGAUGCGUAGCCGACCUGAGAGGGUGAUCGGCCACACUGGGACUGAGACACGGCCCAGACUCAUACGGGAGGCAGCAGUAGGGAAUCUUCCGCAAUGGACGAAAGUCUGACGGAGCAACGCCGCGUGAGUGAUGAAGGUUUUCGGAUCGUAAAACUCUGUUGUUAGGGAAGAACAAGUACAAGAGUAACUGCUUGUACCUUGACGGUACCUAACCAGAAAGCCACGGCUAACUACGUGCCAGCAGCCGCGGUAAUACGUAGGUGGCAAGCGUUGUCCGGAAUUAUUGGGCGUAAAGCGCGCGCAGGCGGUCCUUUAAGUCUGAUGUGAAAGCCCACGGCUCAACCGUGGAGGGUCAUUGGAAACUGGGGGACUUGAGUGCAGAAGAGAAGAGUGGAAUUCCACGUGUAGCGGUGAAAUGCGUAGAGAUGUGGAGGAACACCAGUGGCGAAGGCGACUCUUUGGUCUGUAACUGACGCUGAGGCGCGAAAGCGUGGGGAGCAAACAGGAUUAGAUACCCUGGUAGUCCACGCCGUAAACGAUGAGUGCUAA
rnacentral:rRNA from 1 species